ensembl:misc_RNA Metazoa_SRP Metazoan signal recognition particle RNA
GCUAGGUUUGGUGGCACACGCCUACAGCCCCAGCUACUUGGGAGGCAGAAGCAGGAGGAUCCCUAGAGCCCAGGAAUUCUGAGCUGUGGUACACUAUGCCGGUUGGGUGUAAGUUUGGCAUCAAUAUGGUGAUCUCCCUGAAGUGGGAAACCACAAACUUGCCUAAGGAGGGGUGAACCCAGCCCAGAUUGGAAAUGGAGCAGGCCAAAACUCCCAGGCUGACCAGUAAUGGAAUCUUGCCUAUGAAUAGCUAGUGCACUGCAGGCUGGGCAACAGAGUGAGAACCUGUCUUAA